UCCCAUUCGACACGGGCAGUCCGUUUAGAGUGCACCUUUCGGUUAGCAACUAAACGCAAGGGUUUCGCUCGUUACGGGACUUAACCCAACAUCUCACGACACGAGCUGACGACAGCCAUGCAACACCUGAUGAAGGCUCCCCUUGCGGGGUCGUCACCGUUUCCGGCUCCUACCACCUCCACUUCAAGCCCGGGUAAGGUUCUUCGCGUUGCAUCGAAUUGAACCACAUGCUCCACCGCUUGUGCGAGCCCCCGUCAAUUCCUUUGAGUUUUAACCUUGCGGCCGUACUCCCCAGGCGGGACACUUAAUGCGUUAGCUGCGGCACGGAACCCGUGGAAUGGACCCCACACCUAGCGCCCAACGUUUACGGUGUGGACUAC
rnacentral:misc_RNA from 1 species